rnacentral:lncRNA from 1 species
AAAUAUAUGUCCUUGAUAAGGCAUGUUUUACCCAAAUUAAAUUCAGCACACAACAAACUAACUUGGUCUAUUAUAGAUUGAAAAUAGAUUGAACAAUGUUGCACACACAAUCUACGAUCUUACUAGUGAUUUAGAUUUCUUCUUAGCACGAGAUGGUGGUUUGGUCGCGCAACACAAUACACCGUUGGAUGUUACUGCAACAAUGAUAAUGAUUGACAUGGCGUGUUGUCAAAGGAUUCCUAGAGAUGGUUGUUCUGGGAUUCUUCAUUGUCUUCCCCAUGUCCGACUGAAAGGGUAUGUGGCAAGUUCAAAGUAAUCGACUCAUAAUGGGGCUCAAAUAUUGUUUACUUAUAUGAUUAAUUAUGUCUCUAUAUAACAAAUGUGUUAUUGUUUUUACUUUUUAAAAUUUGUUGUGUUGUCAAUAUUACUCUACCAAUAAGUUAGUUCAAUGUAUUGUUAGUUGUAAUGAC